UACGAAGGGGGCUAGCGUUGUUCGGAAUCACUGGGCGUAAAGCGCACGCAGGCGGAUCGUUAAGUCAGGGGUGAAAUCCCGAGGCUCAACCUCGGAACUGCCUUUGAUACUGGCGAUCUUUGAGUCCGGGAGAGGUGAGUGGAACUCCGAGUGUAGAGGUGAAAUUCGUAGAUAUUCGGAAGAACACCAGUGGCGAAGGCGGCUCACUGGCCCGGUACUGACGCUCAUGUGCGAAAAGCGUGGGGAGCAAACAGG
rnacentral:rRNA from 1 species